rnacentral:rRNA from 1 species
AACGCGAAGAACCUUACCUGGGUUUGACAUGCACAGGACGCUGGUAGAGAUAUCAGUUCCCUUGUGGUCUGUGUGCAGGUGGUGCAUGGCUGUCGUCAGCUCGUGUCGUGAGAUGUUGGGUUAAGUCCUGAAACGAGCGCAACCCUCGGCGUUAGUUAGAGUGUCUAACGCGACUGCCCGCGACAAGCGGGAGGAAGGUGGGGAUGAUGUCAAGUCAGCAUGGCCUUUAUGUCCAGGGCGACACACACGCUACAAUGGUCGGUACAAUGGGCAGCCAAGCCGCAAGGCGGAGCUAAUCCAAUCAAAGCCGGCCUCAGUUCAGAUUGUGGGCUGCAACUCGCCCACAUGAAGUCGGAGUUGCUAGUAACCGCGCGUCAGCAUAGUGCGGUGAAUACGUUCCCGGGCCUUGUACACACCGACGCGUA